UACGAAGGGGGCUAGCGUUGCUCGGAUUGACUGGGCGUAAAGGGCGCGUAGGCGGUUCGUACAGUCAGACGUGAAAUCCUGGGCUCAACCUGGGGGCUGCGUUUGAUACGUGCGGACUUGAGUGCGGAAGAGGGUCGUGGAAUUCCCAGUGUAGAGGUGAAAUUCGUAGAUAUUGGGAAGAACACCGGUGGCGAAGGCGGCGACCUGGUCCGAUACUGACGCUGAGGCGCGAAAGCGUGGGGAGGCAAACAGG
rnacentral:rRNA from 1 species